rnacentral:rRNA from 1 species
AUGUCCUACGGGGCGCAGCAGUGAGGAAUAUUGGUCAAUGGGCGAGAGCCUGAACCAGCCAAGUCGCGUGAAGGAUGAAGGAUCUAUGGUUUGUAAACUUCUUUUAUAUGGGAAUAAAGUGAGGAACGUGUUCCUUUUUGUAUGUACCAUAUGAAUAAGCAUCGGCUAACUCCGUGCCAGCAGCCGCGGUAAUACGGAGGAUGCGAGCGUUAUCCGGAUUUAUUGGGCGUAAAGCGUCCGCAGCCGGUUUAUUAAGUAUAGAAUAAAACUUCGGGGCUCAACCCCGUCUCGUUCUAUAAACUGAU